AGCUAAUAGAUACCCGGGUAGUCCACGCCCUAAACGAUGCGUAUUUGGUGUGGGCAGUUCAUUCUGUCCGUGCCGGAGCUAAACGCGUUAAAUAUGCCGCCUGGGGAGUACAGUCGCAAGGCUGAAACUCAAAGGAAUUGACGGGGGCCGGCACAAGCGGUGGAGCAUGUGGUUCUAAUUACGUACGCAACGCGAAGAACCUUACCUGGGCGUCGAACGGCUGGUCAACGGCUGCGGAAACGUAGCUACCCGCAAGGGGGUCCGAUCGGAGGUGCUGCAUGGCGUGUCGUCAGCUCGUGUCGUGAGAUGUUGGGUUAAGUCCCGCAACGAGCGCAACCCUUG
rnacentral:rRNA from 1 species